rnacentral:lncRNA from 1 species
GUAAAAAUGUCAGCAGCUGGGCCCCGUCCCUCCCCCCAGUGCUUGUGGGAAGCCAGCUCCCCCACCCCCUGCAGAGCUUGAGUUCUAUCCCUGCGCUGUCAUCUCACACGCCUUUGCCUUGCAAACCACAGAUUAGCACAAGACAAAGGGCCGCUGGGCUAGGAGCUGACCUCAAUACCUGCUUUUGAAAGUCCCUUGGCUUGGUCCGGAGCUGGGGGACACAGGAUGAGUGGGCAGUCCACAAGGACAGUUGGCUGGGCUUGCAGGACCCUCCCGUCUGCGUGUGGUGGAGUGCCUGAUGGGAGCAGCCCUGGGAGCACUCCGGUUUAUGCUACACGAUCUGAGAGCAGGAGGGACUCAGUUCCCAGAGGGGACUCCAUGCCAGAGCCGGUGUCUGGCAUGUGGACCAGAGGCCAGGAUCCCUCUGAAAUGGAGAAAUAGAGGGCGGGACACAACAGAACUGGCCACAGCAGCCCUUUUUGUCUGUCCCAGACCUGCCUGGAAAGGGUCCCCUCCGCCUUUUUCUCAGGGACAUCCCAAGUCCCUGUCUUGGGCCCUCCGUCUUCCUUCCAGCUGCCCCACUCUGGGGGACUCAGCACCAUAGUGAUGAGCCCAUUUUCCCCUCAGGCCCUUGUCACUUUUCCAUUUGCAGCAACCAGUUCCCCUACCCAGCAGCACCCCUCCCCCACAGGGCCUUGGCUCCUCCUGACCUCCAGGGGGUCCAUGGGCCUCGGCUCCCCCAGCCUCUUGGGGCUGCCAGCUGCCCAGGCUGUCCAUGAAUUCUGUCCCUACUCCAAUCCCCUGGGUCACCUUGAAAAAUGAUCCUUAGUCUUUAAUGAACCAAUCGGUUCUUUAGAAAGGACACCUGGAACUUUCUUUGCAGCUAGUAGCCCUGUCAACAGGAGCACUAUUGGAAUUGGGGCCUGGACAAAUCCCCAUUGUAUGGGACAGUCCCUUCCCCAUUGUAGGAUGUUGAGUGUCCCUGGACCCCUGGCCACUGAGUCUGGUAGCACCCCCUUAGUCGUUGUGGCAACCAAACAACAGAACACAUCCCCCCACUUCCCAAUGUCCCCAGGGAGGGCCAUGGUUCUUGACUAAGGAAGCGCCAUUCAUCUCAGGAUCAAAUUCUUUUUACUCCACAAACAGUCGCCAAGCAGCAUCUCCCCGCAGGACCAGUUAUGUGUGCCUGAUCAGGGCCAGCUCCCGCGUGUCAUUCAAUCUAGAGUGAACAGCAUGGCAGCCGCCUCCUCAGGUCCCUACCCUCCACCUGGGGACCACACAGAAGAGCGCAGCGCCUGAGUGGGCGCCUUUCCAUGAAGGAGUAGGGGUGGGUCGUCCCUGGAAGAUAAUUCUCAGCAAAGCAUUUCCUGGGAAAUCAUUGGCAUCAUUCCCCACCCCCUCCCUCCUCUUGCUGGUGUCCCCUUUAAAAAAAAAUUUGAUCAAUCAAAAUA